rnacentral:snRNA from 1 species
AGAUGUGAGGGUGAUCAGGAGGAACGUUUAUCACUCCACUGAUGCCCUGGGUUGACUUGGCUGAUCUGGCUGGCUAGGCAGGUAUGUCCUGUUAUUCCCCAGUUACUCCACAUGCAUCCCUCCCAAAGCUAAAGGUCUGUCCCUAUCAAAGAGGAAGAACUUCCCUGGCAGAGGAUGACCAUCUUUGGUCAAGGGUAUGUAAGCAACUGCAUGCCUCUGCUAGAGCUUCAAAACAACCUCACAGGGAUGCUAUUUCAGCAUUUUAAGCAAAAAAGGUGACAUUAUCCUAAUUUGACAUCAAGAAAAUACUUUGCUCU